GAAAGAUCAGAUGAAAAGUAAGUAAAUAUAUAUAUAUAUUCUAUAUAUAUAUAUAUAUUAUUUAUGCCUUUCAGCCAUGACUUGUUUGUUUUCUCUUUAUUGUGCAUUGUAUUAAUGAGUAGGAUAAUAGUUAUUUAAUAUCCUCUUCCAAAAAAGGCAUUCAACCAAAACACAUGAGAGCUUCAAAUAAUUAGGACAAUAUAAUUGGGUACAUUAUAGAGGGCAUGAAAUUAACUGUAGUUAAAUUAACUCUUCUUUCUCAAAUGAGCAUAAAGGAGAAAUCACUGUGAACACAUCUUUCUCAUACUAAUUGCAAGCAGAGGAAUGCAGUAUUUUAUCUAUGUGAGCUUUAACUCUGAACUGCAGCUGUUCUUGUACACUCUUCCGUACACCACCUAUAAUUGUGGCCAGUUCUUGUUUCAGUCUGGUGUAGUUUCUUCUAUCUUUAAGCAUCACUGAAGGUACAGGUCAUUGCUUUGUGCUAUGAUCCUAUCUAUGUCAACAACUGGAUAGGAGAUUUCUAAGAACAUUUAAAUAUGGCAUUGAUUCAUUAGAUUAGAGUUGGAUAAAUGUUCCCGUUUUGUGAGAGGGAAUGCGAGAGAUCAUUUUUUUACAGUAUUCAUAGAAACACUGGUCUUUGAUCUUCUAUGCCUUCACCACACUGUCCCCAGAGAUCUGCCACCAUUCUGGAAUGUGUCUGAUCCCAGUUUCCUGAACCCCAUCUUUUGGCUGAUAUCCUGGUGUGAACUCAGUUUAUCUCCAUUUCCAGGGAGAAUCCUGAUGCCCAGGACCAGGGUUAUUAUUUGCUGACCCCUGGCUGCUCUGUUCGCUGUCUGGGGACAAUGAGAUGAACCCUGGCUGUGAGGUCCUUUGCUGGGAGAGAAUCCCCAUGACACUCAGGGAACCCCUAUCCCAUUCUGCACCAUGACAACUGCCUUCUUCCAAAGCAGAAGUCUUCAUUACAUGGUGAUAACAAAGAUUCCAGUUCUUCAGGUGUUGGGGAGAAGAGGAAAGGAAUACUUAUUUCCCAUACAGGUCUUCAAAGUUCCACCUUCCUCCUUACACUGCCCACUUACACUUACUCAAUGCUGUCCCAGAACUUAAAGUAAACUUUAACAUUUUUCAUUUUUUCUUGUAGUUUUCAUGUUUUCAUACAGUAAUCCUGUCUUUUCCCUCAUUAUUUCCCUUAGAGACAGCUGACUUGAGUAGUUCGGUGUUCUCUCCACUGCCUUCUGUUAUCCCACAGGGUAGAUGUAGGUGUUCUUUUCUAUGCUUGAAACAACUUGGGCCAAAACUAUCUUCCCCAGCUGCAGCCACCACCAUGACCUGUCCCAUGAUCCUGUAUGACAUUGGGAAAGAUGACUGAGGUCAAGGACAUAAAAAGGGGAAAACUGACCCUGACCCAAUAUACUUUUUCUCCUUAGCUUAUCCACUUGCUGGACACAAGCAGUGUAG
rnacentral:lncRNA from 1 species